rnacentral:rRNA from 1 species
UAGGGAAUCUUCGGCAAUGGGGGGAACCCUGACCGAGCAACGCCGCGUGAGUGAAGAAGGUUUUCGGAUCGUAAAGCUCUGUUGUUAAGGAAGAACGAGUGUGAGAAUGGAAAGUUCAUGCUGUGACGGUACUUAACCAGAAAGGGACGGCUAACUACGUGCCAGCAGCCGCGGUAAUACGUAGGUCCCGAGCGUUGUCCGGAUUUAUUGGGCGUAAAGCGAGCGCAGGCGGUUAGAAAAGUCUGAAGUGAAAGGCAGUGGCUCAACCAUUGUAGGCUUUGGAAACUGUUUCAGUUGAGUGCAGAAGGGGAGAGUGGAAUUCCAUGUGUAGCGGUGAAAUGCGUAGAUAUAUGGAGGAACACCGGUUGCGAGAGCGGCUCUCUGGUCUGUAACUGACGCUGAGGCUCGAAAGCGUGGGGAGCGAACAGG